UACGUAGGGGGGCAAGCGUUGUCCGGAUUUAUUGGGCGUAAAGAGCGUGUAGGCGGCCAAAGCAGGUCCGCUGUGAAAAACUCGAGGCUCAACCUCGAGACGUCGGUGGAAACCGUUUGGCUAGAGUCCGGAAGAGGAGAGUGGAAUUCCCCGGUGUAGCGGUGAAAAUGCGCAGAUAUCGGGGAAGAACACCCCGUGGCGAAGGCGGCUCUCUGGGACGGUACUGACGCUG
rnacentral:rRNA from 1 species